rnacentral:rRNA from 1 species
CUACGGGCCGCUGCAGUGAGGAAUAUUGCACAAUGGGGGGAACCCUGAUGCAGCAACGCCGCGUGGAGGAUGACGCAUUUCGGUGUGUAAACUCCUUUUAUAUGUCAAGAAAAUGACGGUAGCAUAUGAAUAAGCACCGGCUAACUCCGUGCCAGCAGCCGCGGUAAUACGGAGGGUGCAAGCGUUACUCGGAAUCACUGGGCGUAAAGGACGCGUAGGCGGGUUGGAAAGUCAGGUGUGAUAUCCUACAGCUUAACUGUAGAACUGCACUUGAAACUUCUAAUCUAGAGUAUGGGAGGGGGAGAUGGAAUUAGUGGUGUAGGGGUAAGAUCCGUAGAUAUCACUAGGAAUACCUAAAGCGAAGGCGAUCUCCUGGAACAUUACUGACGCUAAGGCGUGAAAGCGUGGGGAGCAAACAGGAUUAGAUACCCUCGUAGUC